GUUGUCUUUCUUCUCUCUUCACUUUGCGAAGAGCAAUGGAAAGAUCUAAGAUAGACUAAGGAGCAGUGGAUGAAAUUGGAUCUUCUGACAAAGAAGUUGGAUGAUACAGGAUCUUCUGACGAAGAAGCUGGUAGAGGAUCUGAGUCAAAAGUCUCCCAUCUCCUGGAAUAAAUAUGAACAAUAGGCAGGUGAUGAGGUCGAGCAGGUGCUGGUGCAGGAGGAUU
rnacentral:misc_RNA from 1 species